rnacentral:lncRNA from 1 species
CAUCGACAGGUAGUAGGUACAUAGCCAACAAGCCAAAUCUAGCCCUUGUCUCCCGAGUCCCACCAAAAAUUGCCCUGUGUCUAAGAUCUGCUGUCCUUCUCCCGAUGUGAAUUAAUGGCUGUCUUUUCCUAGCUUUCCCUUACAGUAAGGAAAUAAAAUUAAGCAAGCCCCACUUUAAUCAAUGUUUUCACGUGAAAACCCUGCAGCAACAUAUUUCAUCUCCAUCUUGGUGCACAAAACCCUACUGUAUGUAUACCAUGAUCAAUUCAUCCUCUCUAACAUUCUUCUAAUGACUUAUUAACUGACAAUAUCUCCUGACUACAUGUCUAAUCCUUAAGAGUCAAUGCCCUACUUAGGAUCUUAAUUAUUAAGAAAAGCACAACAUUAACCACCCAAAAAAUCAUGACCGUAUUGAUCAUUAAAUGCCUUAAUUAAGCUUGGUAGAAUACAAAAGAAAAGAUAAACGAGCAAACCCCAUUUUCUUCGAUGUUUCCUCAACCUCAAUGAUGGUUUUGUAGCCUUAAAGUUGUCCAUGCUAUCAAGAGACAAGGAGUCCUACUGGUGCCAAAUAUGUAAUGAGCUUAGUGUUAUUGAUACUUGCCGUAUUUCUGCCAGCAUAGUAACAUAAUGAUGCACCUCCUCAUUAUGUAGAGCCUAGACCUUUGUUCUCUAGCCAUAAGCACCCAUAUAUCUUUUCCUCAAGCUUGAAGAAGUCUGAUCAUGAUCUCCACUACUGUGUCCUCCUUGUGUUGAUGAUGAUGAUGAAUAACACUGACCCAUAUUCCAAUUUUUUACCACAAUUAAGGAGCCACGAGCUAGAGGGAAACUCUAAUAAAGAAGAGUGAGAGAUUUGUGCGGGCUUGAAGGGGUUAGUACUAGAUGCUCUUUUUUCUAUGUUACAUAGAUGGACCACUUCCACAAAUCUCUUGGUAUCUGGUCUGUCCUCAAAACAGGACUAGAAUAGAGACUUUAUGAAGAGAGA